rnacentral:tRNA from 2 species
GGGCCGGUAGCUCAGCCCGGUAGAGCAACGGACUUUUAAUCCGUGUGUCCAGGGUUCGAAUCCCUGUCGGCCCA